rnacentral:rRNA from 1 species
AGUAAAAGUCGUAACAAGGUCUCCGUUGGUGAACCAGCGGAGGGAUCAUUACUGAGUUUACGCUCUACAACCCUUUGUGAACAUACCUAUAACUGUUGCUUCGGCGGGUAGGGUCUCCGCGACCCUCCCGGCCUCCCGCCUCCGGGCGGGUCGGCGCCCGCCGGAGGAUAACCAAACUCUGAUUUAACGACGUUUCUUCUGAGUGGUACAAGCAAAUAAUCAAAACUUUUAACAACGGAUCUCUUGGUUCUGGCAUCGAUGAAGAACGCAGCGAAAUGCGAUAAGUAAUGUGAAUUGCAGAAUUCAGUGAAUCAUCGAAUCUUUGAACGCACAUUGCGCCCGCCAGCAUUCUGGCGGGCAUGCCUGUUCGAGCGUCAUUUCAACCCUCAAGCUCUGCUUGGUGUUGGGGCCCUACAGCCGAUGUAGGCCCUCAAAGGUAGUGGCGGACCCUCCCGGAGCCUCCUUUGCGUAGUAACUUUACGUCUCGCACUGGGAUCCGGAGGGACUCUUGCCGUAAAACCCCCCAAUUUUCCAAAGGUUGACCUCGGAUCAGGUAGGAAUACCCGCUGAACUUAAGCAU